CGGGUUCGGGUAAACUAAGUAGUGCGAGUCUGAGCGGAACGAUCCUAGCUUGCUAGGAGGCGUCGAGCGGCGGACGGGUGAGUAAUGCAUAGGAAUCUGCCCGGUAGUGGGGGAUAACCUGAGGAAACUCAGGCUAAUACCGCAUACGUCCUACGGGAGAAAGCAGGGGCUCUUCGGACCUUGCGCUAUCGGAUGAGCUUAUGUCGGAUUAGCUGGUUGGUGAGGUAACGGCUCACCAAGGCGACGAUCCGUAGCUGGUCUGAGAGGAUGAUCAGCCACAUCGGGACUGAGACACGGCCCGAACUCCUACGGGAGGCAGCAGUGGGGAAUAUUGGACAAUGGGGGCAACCCUGAUCCAGCCAUGCCGCGUGUGUGAAGAAGGCCCUCGGGUUGUAAAGCACUUUCAGUGAGGAAGAAGGCUUGUCGGUUAAUACCCGGCAAGAAAGACAUCACUCACAGAAGAAGCACCGGCUAACUCCGUGCCAGCAGCCGCGGUAAUACGGAGGGUGCGAGCGUUAAUCGGAAUUACUGGGCGUAAAGCGUGCGUAGGCGGCUUGAUAAGCCGGUUGUGAAAGCCCCGGGCUCAACCUGGGAACGGCAUCCGGAACUGUCAGGCUAGAGUGCAGGAGAGGAAGGUAGAAUUCCCGGUGUAGCGGUGAAAUGCGUAGAGAUCGGGAGGAAUACCAGUGGCGAGGCGGCCUUCUGGACUGACACUGACGCUGAGGUACGAAAGCGUGGGUAGCAAACAGGAUUAGAUACCCUGGUAGUCCACGCCGUAAACGAUGUCGACUAGCCGUUGGGGUCCUCGAGACCUUUGUGGCGCAGUUAACGCACUAAGUCGACCGCCUGGGGAGUACGGCCGCAAGGUUAAAACUCAAAUGAAUUGACGGGGGCCCGCACAAGCGGUGGAGCAUGUGGUUUAAUUCGAUGCAACGCGAAGAACCUUACCUACCCUUGACAUCGUGCGAACUUGGUAGAGAUACCUUGGUGCCUUCGGGAACGCACAGACAGGUGCUGCAUGGCUGUCGUCAGCUCGUGUUGUGAAAUGUUGGGUUAAGUCCCGUAACGAGCGCAACCCUUGUCCCUAUUUGCCAGCGAUUCGGUCGGGAACUCUAGGGAGACUGCCGGUGACAAACCGGAGGAAGGUGGGGACGACGUCAAGUCAUCAUGGCCCUUACGGGUAGGGCUACACACGUGCUACAAUGGCCGGUACAAUGGGUUGCAAAGCGGCGACGUGGAGCUAAUCCCAUAAAGCCGGUCUCAGUCCGGAUCGGAGUCUGCAACUCGACUCCGUGAAGUCGGAAUCGCUAGUAAUCGUGCAUCAGAAUGGCACGGUGAAUACGUUCCCGGGCCUUGUACACACCGCCCGUCACACCAUGGGAGUGGACUGCACCAGAAGUGGUAGCCUAACUACGGACAACGACAACUACGAGUUAUGAGGC
rnacentral:rRNA from 1 species